rnacentral:rRNA from 1 species
CUACACAUGCAGUCGAGCGGAACGAGUUAUCUGAACCUUCGGGGAACGAUAACGGCGUCGAGCGGCGGACGGGUGAGUAAUGCCUAGGAAAUUGCCCUGAUGUGGGGGAUAACCAUUGGAAACGAUGGCUAAUACCGCAUAAUACCUACGGGUCAAAGAGGGGGACCUUCGGGCCUCUCGCGUCAGGAUAUGCCUAGGUGGGAUUAGCUAGUUGGUGAGGUAAUGGCUCACCAAGGCGACGAUCCCUAGCUGGUCUGAGAGGAUGAUCAGCCACACUGGAACUGAGACACGGUCCAGACUCCUACGGGAGGCAGCAGUGGGGAAUAUUGCACAGUGGGCGCAAGCCUGAUGCAGCCAUGCCGCGUGUGUGAAGAAGGCCUUCGGGUUGUAAAGCACUUUCAGUCGUGAGGAAGGUAGUGUAGUUAAUAGCUGCAUUAUUUGACGUUAGCGACAGAAGAAGCACCGGCUAACUCCGUGCCAGCAGCCGCGGUAAUACGGAGGGUGCGAGCGUUAAUCGGAAUUACUGGGCGUAAAGCGCAUGCAGGUGGUUUGUUAAGUCAGAUGUGAAAGCCCGGGGCUCAACCUCGGAAUAGCAUUUGAAACUGGCAGACUAGAGUACUGUAGAGGGGGGUAGAAUUUCAGGUGUAGCGGUGAAAUGCGUAGAGAUCUGAAGGAAUACCGGUGGCGAAGGCGGCCCCCUGGACAGAUACUGACACUCAGAUGCGAAAGCGUGGGGAGCAAACAGGAUUAGAUACCCUGGUAGUCCACGCCGUAAACGAUGUCUACUUGGAGGUUGUGGCCUUGAGCCGUGUCUUUCGGAGCUAACGCGUUAAGUACACCGCCUGGGGGAGUACGGUCGCAAGAUUAAAACUCAAAUGUAUUUGACGGGGGCCCCGCACAAGCGGUGGCAGCAUGUGGUUUUAAUUCGAUGCCACCGCGGAAGAAUCUUUACCUACUUUUUAACAUCCAGAAGAACUUUCCAGAAGAUGGAUUGGUGCCUUUCGGGAACUCUGAAAACAGGGUGCUGCAUGGUUGUUCGUCCACCUCCUGGUUGUGAAAAUGUUGGGGUUAAAUUCCGCAACCGAGGGGCAACCCUUUAUCCUUGGUUUGCCAACCACUUCCUGGGGGGAAACUCCAGGGGAAAACCGCCGGGGAAUAAACCCGGGAAGGAAGGGGGGGGGAACCACUUACAAUUCUUUGGGGGCCCUUUAAACAAGGGGGGUUCACCCAUGGUGGUCAAAAAGGGGGGCCAUAACGAGGGGGCCGAUCAACUUUGGGAGGAAGGGAAGGCAAUCCCAAAAAAUGGUGCCCUGUGAUUUCAGGGAUUGGAAUUCGGUACACUCCCCACUCCUGUAAGAUGCGGGAAAUUCGUGAUAAAACGCUUGGAUUAACAUAAAGGCCCUGGGAUAAAAAUAUUUCUCCGCGGGGCUUUUUUGAAACCACCCCGCCUGAUCACACCGUAGAGAGAUUGGGGGUCUCCCCAA